rnacentral:rRNA from 1 species
GACAGAGGGUGCAAGCAUUAAUAGGAUUUAUUGGGCGUAAAGAGCACGUAGGCUGAGAGGAUAGUUAGAUGUGAAAGCCCAGGACUCAAUCCUGGAAACGCAUCUAAAACUCCCUCUCUAGAGGGUAGACGGAGAAAAUGGAAUUCCACGUGUAGCGGUGAAAUGCGUAGAUAUGUGGAAGAACACCGGUGGCGAAGGCGAUUUUCUAGUUUAUUUCUGACGCUGCGGUGCCAAAGCAAGGGGAGCACUCUGG